AGGGCACCUCAGGGGUGCCUCCCAGGGUCUGGCUUCAGUUUCCUUAAAGGUUCCAAGCAUAGCUGCUACAUACACAUCAGACCAAAUGGAAGUCACCAUGAAACACCCCUUGCCUUUAGGAAACCUUUUCACACAUUGGUGACAACCCUUGGGCCAUUCUACUCUCUUCUAAAAGAGUCUUAAAAAAAAAAAAAAAAGAAACAACCAGUAAUUACUUUGUAGAACUUCAAAGCUUGUCUCUCAGGGCUGUAAAAGCAGGGAUAAGAAGCACUGGUGUCAUAUCUCGCAGGCAUUCCUUGAAAGCAGGCAUGGUAUCCUUUGAACCAUUGGCCAGGGAAGUGUCCUGGAAACCGAUGAGACUUCCUCUCCAUCAGAAGUUUAUUGGUUCCUUCCCUGGCAGGCUACAUUCCUUAUUCUUCUCAAUGGCCUGCCUGGUUUCAUUUCCUGUCCCUUUAUCCCAGUCUCCCCACCUCCCUGUGUCACUCCUUCACCUCCCUUCCCUCUUCAGCGAUGAGACAAGCCUGACUUGACUGACCACCCUUAGGGUGACCUAGUUCAUGUCACCCCUCUGAAGCCCCCUUUGGGUGGGCUCCCAUCAUCCGGUACAGCUCCCUACAGUACAGUUAGUCACAUCCCACUGAAAGAUGUGUCUGGGAUUUUCCUCUUGAGACAGUAAACUCUAUGCAAGUCUGCCUGUUCCUUCAGUGUGUGGCGUGAUUAUAGCUCAUGGGUGAUUGGAUUACUUUAAUGCGGCGAGUAGGCUUCCUGUUGUAUGUCAGGGCUGCUCUUGUUAAAAUGUGUGGAUUUUGCAUUUACAUACUUGUUUCCAUAAACAAGCUGUCACCCUCUGAUACUGUGUAUUUAGCUAGCUUUAUGAACCAGAUAUAGUUUUGUGUUGUGUUACCCAAGAGGACCUCAUCUCUGUGACUUUUUAUCUGGUUUGGUAGAUUGACUUGGACGGGUGGAGAGGGUUGGGAGAGUGGAUAGAGGAGGCAGACUUUGUUUAUUUUUUUUUUUAAGAAAAUCCUUUAGCAAUUGCAGACUGUAAUAAAGUGCUCAUGCUCCCGUUACUAACAGAGCAAUGCUAAGCAUGAAUGGGAAGUCUAGCUACAAGUGACCCUUCUCGGAUACCUACAGCCUCCUUCAUUUUUCUUCAGACAUUCUUGCAACCUGUGCCCUGUCUCUGAAAGGGCUGUAGGAAGAAGGGUAACUAUCCUCUGGAUCUCGAUCUGCCCUUCUUCUAGAAUGCCCUCGUGGAAGGACCACGCUGAAGCCUGUCACUGUCACAGUUGCUGGCCCUCACCUCACCAUCAUCUCCUUCCUGUCGGUCUACAAAACUCAUUAGCUCCAUUCUCCCGCUCUCUCCUUUCCUGAGCCUGUCUACAUCUCUCCAAUUCUUCCCUCUCCAUCCUUCUCUCUAAGGCACACUUGUGCAUCACAGCUGAUUACCUCCUGUCACAGUAACCCUGACUACUUACCAUCCUCCCCAGAGUUUAAACCUCUACCCUGAGGCAAAAAAAGAUACCCUGCUGCCUCCUACAGGAUGAUCACAUUGCUCAUUCCCUGUGUGGCAUUACCUUCCCUUGUAUGGCCCUUCCCUACAGCUUAUGGUCCCCCUGUGUGGCCCUCAGCCCAUCCCUUUAUCAGGAUUCUUCAUUUUCUUAAGGACCCAUUUUCCUUUAAAGGCCACUCUACCUUCUCAGCCUUCAAGCCGGUGCCAUUCCCAAUACUCAGCCUUCCAGGGGGUCGCUCCACAGGCCUGUAAAUUCUCCCUGAGCCCUCCCCAUCACAGACACCUUUUCCUACUGACUGUGUCCGAGCUCCUACCACACAUGAGGAUUAUGUCACUCCUCUGAAGAGCUUUCAAGGCCACACAAGACUGACUGAAGUAAAAGGCACAAGGAAAAUCUGAGCCCCAUUCUGGUCCAACAGGCUCUGAGGCAAAUGCACGUAUAUGAAGACCCCAGUCCACUCCUUUCUCAAUGGAGUUACCUCUCCCAACACUCCAUCCUCAUGCAGCCCCUUUCUGCUGCCAUUCUUAGAUUUGAGCACAAAUCAAUUACGACCCCCUUUUUGUCCCAGGAGUUCAGACCCAUGAUCCUAUCCAAGACAUGACGUACAUCUAUAGAAGGUGCCAGACUCUUCCUGGCCCUGUAUUGUCUGAUCAAACCUCUCUGGAAAAGAACUAGAAACAGAGCUGUCCAAGCAUACGGCAAAGCUCUUUGUGGCUAGUUAUUUCUUUCUAGUUCUUUCUCCAGGUUGAAAAUGUUAUAUUUUAAAUGUAGUCUUGCUUUGUGUGCUGUGUUGUGGUUGGUGGUGUGUGUUUUUAUUUUUUGUUUUUUGUUUUUUCCAGAUCUGCAUAGAAUUCUCUAUAGGUAGAAAAAUCUAACUCUGUACGGCUGAUUGCUUUGUAAAUCUUGGUGAGUCAGGGCUUGUUCAUAAACAGCGAGGACAUUCAGGUUCUGUUCUUUGAGGCCAGCGGUACAUGAGUGGAAUGCCAAAGAGCUCAUUAGAAUGUAUAGUCAUGGCACUCGUGGGAAUGGGUCGGAGGAAAAGGCUGUAAAUACAUCUGGGGCUUCAAGUCUUGUGUGCGUAUUUCAAGGAGAAAUAUGUGCUUGCCAUUGCUAUAUGAAAAUUAGUUUAUACAAGUUCUUUAAAUACCUCUUGAUCCUAAGUUCUUAUUUCUGGGCAUUAAAACAAAAUG
rnacentral:lncRNA from 1 species